CCUACGGGAGGCAGCAGUAGGGAAUCUUCCACAAUGGGCGAAAGCCUGAUGGAGCAACGCCGCGUGGGUGAAGAAGGUCUUCGGAUCGUAAAACCCUGUUGUUAGAGAAGAAAGUGCGUGAGAGUAACUGUUCACGUUUCGACGGUAUCUAACCGGAAAGCCACGGCUCACUACUUGCCAGCCGCCGCGGUAAUACGUAGGUGGCAAGCGUUAUCCGGAUUUAUUGGGCGUAAAGGGAAAGUAGGAGGUCCGUUAAGUCUGAUGUGAAAGCCUUCGGCUUAAACGGAGUAGUGCAUUGGAAACUGGGAGAAUUGAGUGCAGAAGAGGUGAGUGGAAAUCCAUGUGUAGCGGGGAAAUGCGUAGAUAUAUGGAAGAACACCAGUGGCGAAAGCGGCUCUCUGGUCUGUAACUGACGCUGAGGUUCGAAAGCGGGGGUAGCAAACAGGAUUAGAUACCCCAGUAGUC
rnacentral:rRNA from 1 species